AAGAAAAAGUAAAGGAAAGAGAUGGAAAAUAAACAAGUGAAGCCACCGAUCAAGAAAGGUUUAUGGAAACCAGAGGAGGACUUGAUCCUCAAGACUUACGUAGAGACUCAUGGAGAAGGCAACUGGGCUACAGUGUCUGAAAAAUCAGGUUUGAUGAGAGGUGGGAAGAGUUGCAGAUUGCGAUGGAAGAAUUACUUGAGACCCAAUAUCAAACGCGGUGGGAUGUCUCAAGAGGAAGAAGACCUUAUCAUUAGGAUGCAUAAACUUCUUGGCAACCGAUGGUCACUUAUUGCCGGUCGACUGCCCGGUCGGACGGACAAUGAGGUGAAAAACUACUGGAAUACCCAUUUGAACAAGAGAUGCCAUACUGGCGAAAGAAAAACCACCGAUCCCGGCAACCAUAAGAAUGGCAACGAUGACAAGUACAAGAACAAGAGGCAACGAAAUUCUCAUCCUACUAGCAACACUAGUCCAAAAAGCAACCCAGAAGAAUUGGAUGGAAAGAAGAAAGAGAAAGAGGAGAGCACUGUUAGCGAUACUUGGAUACAGAAUGCACAAAGCAUGAACUAUUACAUGGAAUCUCCAACAGUUCCGGCCAGCAGUGAUGCAUUUGUCUUCAACAACGAUCCAUUUAUUGCUUGCUGGGAUUCCUUUGUUUUGCUUGAAUUAUUCGGCUAUAAUGAUAAGAUGUAUUCACAGGUGGACCUGGAAACAUUCAUGCCAUAGUUUCUGAUACUCAUACAUUACCUUCUUCAAUGUCUUGUAGUCAGAAUUGAGUUUUUCAAGGCUUUCCUACAAAAUAUGCUUGUCCUUCCUGCACUGUUGAGGAUUGUAUUAUGAUAAAA
rnacentral:misc_RNA from 1 species